CCUACGGGGGGCAGCAGUUGGGAAUCUUGCACAAUGGGGGAAACCCUGAUGCAGCGACGCCGCGUGGAGGACGAAGGGUCUAGGCUCGUAAACUCCUUUUAUCGGGAAAACGGUACCCGAUGAAUAAGCACCGGCUAACUACGUGCCAGCAGCCGCGGUAAGACGUAGGGUGCAAGCGUUGUCCGGAUUUACUGGGCGUAAAGAGCGCGUAGGCGGUCUGUUAAGUGUAGAGUGAAAUCCCAGGGCUCAACCCGGAAACUGCUCUGCAUACUGAUAGACUGGAGGGUCGGAGAGGUCUAUGGAAUUCCUGGUGUAGCGGUGAAAUGCGUUGAUAUCAGGAGGAACACCCAUGGCGAAGGCAGUAGACUGCGACAUCUGACGCUGAGGCGCGAAAGCGUGGGUAGCAAACAGGAUUAGAUACCCUUGUAGUC
rnacentral:rRNA from 1 species